CAAUGGUUUAUUCAUUAGUUAUUGAGGUUUAAAUUUGUUAUAGGAAUGAUUAGGAUUUGGUUUAGGAUUUGGUUAGGGUUUGGUUAGGGUUUGGUUUCGGGUUUAGGAUUUGGUUAGGCUUUUGUAGAAUGUAUAAUUGACUUUUCUGGUUCGUUAUUGGUUAAAUAGUAGUAAUGUUGGGAUUUAGAUGAAUGGUUAGUUCGAUUA
rnacentral:lncRNA from 1 species